rnacentral:rRNA from 1 species
GAUGAACGCUGGCGGCGUGCCUAAUACAUGCAAGUCGAGCGAACAGAUGAGGAGCUUGCUCCUCUGACGUUAGCGGCGGACGGGUGAGUAACACGAGGAUAACCUACCUAUAAGGCUGGGAUAACUUCGGGAAACCGGAGCUAAUACCGGAUAAUAUAUUGAACCGCAUGGUUCAAUAGUGAAAGACGGUUUUGCUGUCACUUAUAGAUGGAUCCGCGCCGCAUUAGCUAGUUGGUAAGGUAACGGCUUACCAAGGCAACGAUGCGUAGCCGACCUGAGAGGGUGAUCGGCCACACUGGAACUGAGACACGGUCCAGACUCCUACGGGAGGCAGCAGUAGGGAAUCUUCCGCAAUGGGCGAAAGCCUGACGGAGCAACGCCGCGUGAGUGAUGAAGGUCUUCGGAUCGUAAAACUCUGUUAUUAGGGAAGAACAAAUGUGUAAGUAACUAUGCACGUCUUGACGGUACCUAAUCAGAAAGCCACGGCUAACUACGUG